rnacentral:rRNA from 1 species
GAUGAACGCUGGCGGCGUGCCUAAUAUAUGCAAGUCGAGCGAACAGACGAGGAGCUUGCUCCUCUGACGUUAGCGGCGGACGGGUGAGUAACACGUGGAUAACCUACCUAUAAGACUGGGAUAACUUCGGGAAACCGGAGCUAAUACCGGAUAAUAUAUUGAACCGCAUGGUUCAAUAGUGAAAGACGGUUUUGCUGUCACUUAUAGAUGGAUCCGCGCCGCAUUAGCUAGUUGGUAAGGUAACGGCUUACCAAGGCAACGAUGCGUAGCCUACCUGAGAGGGUGAUCGGCCACACUGGAACUGAGACACGGUCCAGACUCCUACGGGAGGCAGCAGUAGGGAAUCUUCCGCAAUGGGCGAAAGCCUGACGGAGCAACGCCGCGUGAGUGAUGAAGGUCUUCGGAUCGUAAAACUCUGUUAUUAGGGAAGAACAAAUGUGUAAGUAACUAUGCACGUCUUGACGGUACCUAAUCAGAAAGCCACGGCUAACUACGUG